rnacentral:rRNA from 1 species
CUGGAGGGGAGAGUGGCGAACGGGUGAGUAACACGUAGGUGACCUGCCUCAAAGAUGGGGAUAACCACUGGAAACGGUGGCUAAUACCCGAUAGUCUCGGUGAUUCGGUUCGCCGUGUAAAGCUCCGGCGCUUUGAGAGGGGCCUGCGGCCCAUCAGCUAGUUGGUAGGGUAACGGCCUACCAAGGCAGAGACGGGUAGGGGGCGUGAGAGCGUGACCCCCCACACUGGCACUGGGAUACGGGCCAG